CACAUUUUGUUUGCAGUUCACGACUUAUCGCUUGAAACUGGCACUAUGAAAUGAAGAUGCUGCACAUUGCACAGAAGGUGAACAAUCCUCGCGGAGUCUGGAGGAUCGUUGCUAGGGGCAACGGCUGCCACGAAAACGGCGAUAAAGAAGCUGAACAUGGCCGGGGUAGAUUAAACACAUUUCUUCUACAAGACAUUUGGAUUGAAUUGAAAGAGAAACAGACCCUGUGCCCUGACUUUUCGUUUUAGAUUGUUUGAUAAAACACGACGCCGCGUGUACCACGAUUUAUGGAUAAACGGUUUGUCAAAAUCGUACGUCUAAUUGUACGAGUGUGUUCCAAUCUGAAGGAUAAAAGAUGAAUCCAUGCUGGCAAGUAUGGCUGUCAGAAUCCAUCACGUUCACCUUCCACUCCGAUGUUCUACAGCAAGCCAAACCAAUAAAAAACAGAGAAGAGACAAGAGCUUCAUCAAUCCAUCAAUUUGACACCGGCACCGCAACACUGAUGAAUGGUUUGGUGCCGGGUCGGAAUGGAGAGAAGGUGUUGACAUCAAAAUUCGUUUCCCGCUCCCGGCACACUGAUCUGCGACACGCGACAUGCUUAUCAAAAUCUAUUACAGCUUUUCUUUGCGGCAAAAGCAUAAGCCGGUUUGCUAGAGUGUGCACUUAAUGGUGAACGCGAAAGGAAACGAAUGACAUUAAGGAUCACGACUCUCUUUGCGUCUUUCGAUUUGUGCCACCACGAAGAUGAUGAACGAACUGGCUGGAGAAGGUAUACGGAGGAGGGAAUGUUGAAAAACAUGCUGAAAACGCAGAUACACAUCGCAAACGUUUGCCGGCGCAAUAUUUUCCAUCUUCUAACGAAUCAAUGCGUGUAGGUGCGGUGCUAUUUUUGGACCACGCUUUCCACCACCACCGAGACGAGUGUGUUUGGGUGAAAGGGGAUAAAGAAAGCAUCGGGAAAAUAUCACGGGCGCCCCAUCAUCCUCGAACCACUCUCACUGUUUCGCACUCUUUCCGGUCAAACAUAACUCAGCCUCGGCAGGAUUCACCAACGCUCUCUUGUUGGGAUAUUUUGGAUCUGGGAGGAAGGGUUUGGCUAAUUUUAGACCUGCUUGGAUGCUUUUUGAGACUGGAUGGAUGGUUAUCGUACGAUUCAGGGUGGGUUCAGGUUAUGGUGGGAGCUUUUGCGGCCAUACUCAAAACAUCACCACAACAACCCGAACGGGUUUGUUUGUCCAGGGCUAUUUGUGUUGGCGAAUUAUAGACCAUCGAUAUGGUAUGGUGCCUGAUCUAAGCACUGCAUGAAGAAUGGACUGUGAAGUUUGCUAGAGAUCGUGCUCGGAAAACGUCCUGUUACAAGGAUAAAACAAGCAAAGUAGUAACCCUCAAUCUGAUCCAUUGGCAAAGGGCUCUAUUUUUCCCUUUACAUUAGGUGUUUUGAUUACCCUAGCUAUGUGCAUACCACCCUUACCGAACACAUCCCCCUGAGUGUCAGUUACGUGGAAGGUUAUUUAAUCCACUCCCUGCGCUGCAGAUGGAUGUCUGAAUUAUAGAGAAACGUAUUGUUGAGGGCGGCGUACUGUGAUUCUCUUACCUCCCGGCGAGAGUGUACCGGAAUUUGGAUGAAUCCUUUCCCCCCUCCCCCCGAACACAUUUACUCUCGCGGGGCAACGCUUUUGCAAUGUUAAUGGAAUGCUAUACUGUUUGUUAUGUUGUUAUGCUGUAGGUAACCAUUUCGUGGAAUUGCGAUUGAUGGGUGUAACAUACGUCGUGGCACUUGGCAAUGAUUUUUUCCUGUACUGCCUUCCAAGAUACUAUUUUCCUAUUGAGCAGAUUACACUUUUCCACGAAUUUACCUGCGCAGCAGCUACUUUGUAGGAAAUUCCUUUUAAAAGUGUCUUUUUUAAAACAUCUAGGUAUAACAAAAACGCCAGUAAUUACCUCAAUAUCAUACCAAAAGUAAGCGCCAUUUUCUUUUCAGAGUUUUUUUUUGCCUAACCACCGGAGGUUGACGGAGAAUAUUUUUAAUUACCAUCUAUUUUCGCUUUUAAACUAGCUUCUACAAAAAACUAGCACCGCCGGUUGCUUCUUUAUUUCCUCGUAUCCUUAAAUUUUCCGUGGGCAGAUAAGGCUAAUUAUGGAAAUUAGUGAAACGGACGGUUUGCUUGCUUGCUCUCCCUUGCCUCUUGCUUGGAAUUUUCCCCAAUCACGAUCACACUUUACGCCAGUGUGGGUGGUGUUGGCUGGUAUUACAGAGGCCAGCCAUACGAGAGGCUAAAAAAGAAACCCCCUGGACCAUUGGGCCGCCGCUGCAGCGCACGGUAGAGACAAACGAGUUUUGCUUCGGUAGCUUCACGUCCCACGAGCGGAAGUUUGUAUGGUUCUUGGCACGACGAUUGAAUCCCUGAGUGGGUAAGGGGGAAGGGGAUCCCUGUGGAUGAAGGUCCUUUUUAUCGUUAUCCGUAAUCACGACCGAAGGUGUCGAAAUGAAUAAUUAAACCCGCUCUACGUGGGAUUUUCGUUUUUCUUGCCCUUUUUUACAGAAUGCUACCGACUGCUGUAAUUUUACAUGGGAGACUUUGCUGCUGAAUGAUUUGUGGAAAAAAGCUACUCCCACUCACCCCGGGGUGGGCUUGAUUGCAUCACAUCCCGCGAGAAUAAUUAACUCCCGCACUGAAUCGGUUGCUGAUGAUUGUGAUUGGAACAGAAAUAUCAGAACCGGGCUGGUUGUCGGCGUGACCUUUAUCGAACCGGGUGGCAUUUCAAUUUUAAAUCGCUCCAUGAUGUCCAUCGAACCAUUUGCCGAUGAUGCAAACACAGCCUUGUGCAAUCGUACUGAGAACGUCCUGUUAGAUGUGUGUGUGUGCACGUACUGGACAUGCGGGGUCAUGUCCUUCCUUCCGGUGGAAAAUGAACUUGAAAAUGUAUUUUCUAUCUGUGAACCAUAUGCUCCGUAUGUAUCCCAUAAGCUACGCCAUUAGUGGCCAUUUUGCUCUGCGGGUCGUUUGCUUGCUCCCGCUCCCAUUAGCUCACAAAUUGGAUGUCCUUUUGAUACGGGGCUUUUUUUGUUGUUAAAUAUGAUCACCAAAUCCAAUAAAGCUCGAGAAGGAGGA